CUUAUAUCGCCAUCCAGCUAAAAAAUAUCGAGAUAUGAAUUUUGGGUCAUAUCGCCCAGCCCUACUCUGGAACUCCUUCCCAUCAGACAUCCAUUACAUUGACUCUCUCUUCACUUACAAGCAAGCAGAAUAUGAAAUGUUUGGUUUGUUAAAUAUGAGAAAAAGGUCAAGUUGCUAAAGCUUAGGGAGACUCGGGGUCAGACUAUGUUGACAUUUUCUUGUCAUAACAUUAGUCACUAUUUUCUUGUGUUCUUGUGUUGAAGAUGAAGUUCUGGAUAACCAGCAGGUCUGUGACCAGAAGAGGAGCUCCAGUCUGGACCAGCAGGACCCAGAGUCUCCACAGACUAAAGAUGAACAAGAGGAAAUCUCCCUCAAUCAGGAAAGUGACCAGCUUUCACUGAAGCCAAAAACCAAAGAUGUCAUCGUCUGGACUGGGCAGGAGCUGGACAUCUUGUGGAACCCUGAAGUAAAGUUGCAAAGAAUAGAUUUUCCACAACAUGACUGUAAGGACAAGGAGGGACUCGCAUAUCAGCACGUCUGCUACCAGACGAACUCCAGUCUGGACCAGGAGGAUCCUUCACAGAUUAAAGAGGAA